CAGCGCCGCGGUAAUACAGAGGGUGCGAGCGUUAAUCGGAUUUACUGGGCGUAAAGCGUGCGUAGGCGGCUUCUUAAGUCGGAUGUGAAAUCCCUGAGCUUAACUUAGGAAUUGCAUUCGAUACUGGGAAGCUAGAGUAUGGGAGAGGAUGGUAGAAUUCCAGGUGUAGCGGUGAAAUGCGUAGAGAUCUGGAGGAAUACCGAUGGCGAAGGCAGCCAUCUGGCCUAAUACUGACGCUGAGGUACGAAAGCAUGGGGAGCAAACAGGAUUAGAUACCCCUGUAGUCCCUGUCUCUUAUACA
rnacentral:rRNA from 1 species